CAGUGAUGCAUGGUUCUGACAGCGUAAUUGACCAGUGGAGUAAGGGAACACUACUUUCACCAUCUGGCAUAGAAAGAAUUUUUCCCUCAUGAAGCAUCCAGCGGAAAGUUAUGGUUUUUCCAGACCCAGACAACCUUUCUGAUCCAAGCAAGUACAUUCUAGUUGACUUCCAAAGGUUAGAGUUUCCUUUGACAAGUGUUGUUUUCCCUUGGUAUCCAGAAGUUGGUGAUAUGUUACUUAUCAAAGGCGAUGAUCCAGAACCAUGGCGGGGUUUAGUUCUGGCAGUGCACAUGAGGAACAAAACUGUGCGACUGCAGUUCUUCGUACCACAUCCUCGGUAGGGAAGACAGUCUGGCGUCUGGGUGCGUGAAGGUACACGACCUCAAGAAGUGCACUUAAAGAGCAAGCUUGGAAGUUGUAUAGGACAUUGGCAGGGAAACAACAGCAUCUUAAAAGAACUGCAGACUUGGAUGCUACUGACAUUAGAAAAAAAAAUUCCAUUUGGAGAAUGGUUCAUGACACCUUCAGUUAAAGGCGUGGUCUUUCAGGUCUUCAGAGUCUCCCAAAAAUGGAGUCACAGGUUUGGAUCACUUGGAGACUGUGUUACCAACCUACUGGAGCACAUCCUUUGCAGUUCCCCUUAUUCCAGAAUCGGAUAUGGCAGAGGAGGAUCAGGAUAUGAAAAUGCAUGAGGAAAAAGAGCUUUGUAGAGGGUAGACAAUGGAGACAAAAAUAUCAAGGAAACCUUCAGUUACCUUCAGGUCUUCAGUCUCUCAAAAAUGGAGUCACCAGAUUGGAUCACUUGGAGACCCUGUUUCCAACCUACUGAAGCACUUCCUUCACCAAGAUAUGCCAUGGCAUGAAGGUUGAUGGGGUAACCAGGUUCUUGCAAUGGGUGUCAAUGGCAAUGAACAAUAUGAUUGCAGUUCCCAUGAUUCCAGAAUCAGAUCUGGUGAAGGAGGAUCAAGAUAUGAAAACACGUGUGGAAACAGAGCUUUGUGGAGUGCAGACAACAGAGACAAAAAUAUCAAGGAAUUUGGAUACAUCUUCAUUCAAUAAAGACACUGAACCACUCUACUCAAGGAAAACGCUGCAUGCGACAUAAAGCAAUGAUUAUGCUUUAAUUUCAGUAUUGGGGAUUUUAAAAUGUGAGUUUUUGCUUUAGCUAUUAAAUGAAAGGAAAAUA